GGAGGAAUUCAGAAGAACUGAAGCUGUUGGCCUGGAGGAGACGUUUAUGAGCAGACUCGAUACGUGUAUAUACACCACGUCUUCUUGAACUCAUGAGAGCCGAGGGAGGUGGCUGGAACUAAAAUAAGACCAGUCCUGGAUGCUUUAAUGAGGUCUAUAUUCAUGUAAUUCAUUUGAACCUCAAUAUUGAAAGGAGAAGAGAUGGAGUUAACCAGAGUUUAAUGGAGGACCUCGGAGAAAGUCAUGAGGACCUUCACCAGGACUGCCAGGAGGAUAAUCAAGAUGGAAACACUGAGCAUCUCUUGAAGAUCCUUGUCGUCCAUAGAGCCACUGCAGAGGACCAGUGGACUUUAUUAUUAUUACUGAGGGCCAUAAAGUGCUGACUAACUGAGGAAGGAGAGCCAAGGCUUGCAUCCUAUUAGUGGGGUUUAUUUAAGCUUUAAAUGUAGUCUACCAAGAAAAGAUAAAGUAUAUGUUUGAGUUUUUACAAAAGAUGUUCCUUGAGAUUGAUGGGAUAAACUGCUCAGAAACGUUCAGACACUAAAAACAAAUUGCUGGCUUGAAUGUAACGACUCAAGUUGAUAAUGGAUAAUAGGCUCUUGUUACACUUUGUUAAAACGUCAUUGUGUCCUGAAAUAUUAAAACACCAGGUGAACUUUAGUUUUAAAACAACAGCCUACCUCACUUCUAAUCUGUAAAUAUGGAUUUUGUUUAUUAUAACAUUUGUCUGUUCUGAAAAUUAAAGUUGUAUUGCUGUUGUGUGAUAAGGGUAGUAGUUAUUAGGACACUUUGCUUCUUUGUGUAUGUUGAUCAUUUGUCAUGUGCCACAGGUAAAGCUCUGCACAUUUACAGUUUUAUGGUCAGUGGCUUCAUACUCGAGUGACAGGAGUGUACAUUGUGGUUUGAAUUGG